AACAAAGGUAGACUCAGGAAGCAGAAGCAAAUAUUUUAAGCAUUUUGUCACUCCAAAAGAGUCUAUGUUGCUGCCUCUGUCUUUGUCUCUCAUUACUCUGGGGGAAGCAAGCUGCCAUGUCAGAAGGAGCUCUAUGGAAAUGACCAUGUGACAAAGAGCUGAGGCCUCCUACCAACAGCCAACAAGGAACUGUCAACAACAAUGUAUUCCAGGCUCUCCUAGAAGCACAGGAACUGCUAAAAUCAAUCAUGUUGACCCUCAAACAUAGGAUUACAGGUAUACCUACAACACAGAUCUCUUGAGAUUCAGCAAAAAAAGUUCUAGGAGAAAACAUAUCAAACUGUAUUUCCUGUUGCCCAGUUCAUCUUGUUGCUUAUCCCAAAUAUUAAAAACCAUCAUCUAAACCUCUGUCU